ensembl:lncRNA MIR497HG mir-497-195 cluster host gene
AGCUGAAUCAAUAAAGAAAAUAUAGUACAAUUACAUAAUGGAGUGCUAUUCAGCCAUAAAAAAAUAAGAUUCCGUCAUUUGCAACAACAUGGAUGGAACUGGAGGUCAUUAUGUUAAGUGAAAUCAGUCAGGCACAGAAAGACAGACUAAAUGCUCUCACUUAUUUGUGGGAGCCAACAAUUAAAACAAUUGAACUCAUAGACGUAGAGAGUAGAAGGAUGCUUACCAGAGGCUGGGAAGCAUAAUGUGGUGGGGGGAGUGGGUAGGGCGUGGGGAAUGGAGAUGGUCAAUGGGUACAAAAAAAUUAGAAAGUGUUGGGAGCAGGCCCCCCAAAAUCUGGCCAUAAACUGUCCCUAAAAUUGACCAUAAACAAAAUCUCUGCAGCACUGUAACAUGUUCAUAAUGGCCCUAACGCCCAAGCUGGAAGGUUGUGGGUUUAUGGGAAUGAGGGCAAGGAACACCUGGCCCGCCCAGGACGGAAAACUGCUUAAAGGCGUUCUUAAGCCACAAACAAUAGCAUGAGUGAUCUGUGCCUUAAGGACAUGCUCCUGCUGCAGUUAACUAGUCCAACCUAUUCCUUUAAUUCAGCCCAUCCCUUUUCCCAUAAGGGAUACUUUUAGUUAAUUUAAUAUCUAUAGAGACAAUGCUAAUGACUGGUUUGCCAUUAAUAAAUACGUGGGUAAAUCUCUGUUCGGGGUUCUCAGCUCUGAAGGCUGUGAGACCCCUGAUUUCCUACUUCACACCUCUGUAGUUCUGUGUGUGUGUCUUUAAUUCCUCUAGCGCUGCUGGGUUAGGGUCUCCCCGACUGAGCUGGUCUCGGCAAGUGGUGUCCAUUCGUGGGGGCUCAAAUCCAGGUCGAAGGGUCGCCAGAGCAACAGUUGGAAUGGAAAACCAGCUGGAGGACACAGGAGUACUCUUAAAGCAAUCCCCGUGAUACAGCAUUACCUGAAAAGAAGAUAACCUGGGGUAGAGGUUAUGCUUGUGUUUCUCCAGGCCAAAAUCAACAGCUGAUCUGGAUACCAUCAAUACACCUGAAACCUUAGCAUAAGCCAGAUUACAGGAGGAUCCCGAGGACCCCCCAGUUGCAGCCAUGUCAAGACUGAUGCUGAGGAGGACCCCAAUUGUCACGAGCAACACCCGUCAAACACAGCCACCCACCUGGGGACAGAUCAAGAAGCUGUCACAGAUGGCGGAAGAAAACCUGAGGAAAGCGGGACAACCAGUCACAAUGAAUAAUUUAAUGGUAGCUAUGAUAGCGGUUAUCACCACUGCCAUGAGUAUUCCUUCAACAGGGGCUGACACAGAGAACAGUUAUACUUAUUGGGCAUAUUUAUCAAUCUUGGCCGGCAAUAAUGCCUGGAUGCAAUCACUCUGACACAGUUACACAUGCUUUCUGAUCUCAGUAUUUACCAUAAUAAAUCUGCUCAUAUAAUUGAGGCAUACCAUCCUCAAAAACCUUUUUGUAAACAGGAUUGGACCCAGUUAGAAAAAGAUGAACGUACUUGUUUAGGAAGAUUGCUUUGCAGAACAGACAGAGGUGCUGCACAAUGAUUCCUAUGGAAUCAUUAUUAAUUGGUACCCUAAGGGGAUGUUUAGCUUGAAUUGCACCUCUCAGUCUGCGUGCCAUGGCCACACUAUGUUCAGAUGAUCUGAACAAAACGGUCAGAUGGUAGAAAUGAUAAGAAGUAUGGCAAAAGUUCCUAUUAUCUGGAACCGUGGCGGUAUAGUGGCACCUCAACCUCAAAUGAUAUGGCCUGCUCUAGAAGCUUAACAUAAGGAUUUGUGGAAACUAUUAGAUGUUCUUAAUAAGAUCAAAAUUUGGGAAAGAAUAAAAAGGCAUCUAGAAGGACACUCUACAAACUUGUUUUUGGAUAUGGCAAAAUUAAAAGAACAAAUAUUUAAAGCAUCCCAGGCACACCUGACCUUAAUGCCAGGAACUGGAGUCCUUAAAGGAGCUGCAGACAAAUUAGCAGCUAGUAACCCAUUAGAAUGGAUAAAAACACUUGGAAGCUCUGUAUUUCAAUGAUGAUUGUGCUUUUAAUCCAUGUUGUUUGUCUUUGUAUAGUGUGCAGAUGUGGAUCCUGACUCCUGUGAGAAGUAGCUCACUGUGACAAAGCUGCCUUUGCUUUUAUCUCUUUGCAAAUCAAAGAAGGGAGACAUGUUGGGAGCAGGCCCCCCCAAAAUCUGGCCAUAAACUGUCCCCAAAACUGGCCAUAAACAAAAUCUCUGCAGCACUGUAACAUGUUCAUAAUGGCCCUUAACACCCAAGCUGGAAGGUUGUGGGUUUAUUGGAAUGAGGGCAAGGAACACCUGGCCCGCCCAGGAUGGAAAACCACUUAAAGGCAUUCUUAAGCCACACACAAUAGCAUGAGCAAUCUGUGCCUUAGGGACAUGCUCCUGCUGCAGUUAACUAACCCAACCUAUUCCUUUAAUCCGGCCCAUCCCUUCGUUUCCCAUAAGGGAUACUUUUAGUUAAUUUAACAUCUAUAGAAACAAUGCUAAUGACUGGUUUGCUGUUAAUAAAUACGUGGGUAAAUCUCUGUUCGGGGGCUCUCAGCUCUGAAGGCUGUGAGACCCCUGAUUUCCCAC